UUCUCUUCUUGGUUUUCUCUGAGAAAUUUUUGAAUAUUCGCGACAAAAUCGCAAGAAAAUCUUGGAAAUUCAGAGCACUCGGGAAGGAAAAUUCUGUCUUUCUUCAAACCUUGGCUAUACACAAAACAAAACCGAGAUGGAAUCACGAGUGCAUGAUGUGAUCCAUGGAUCUUUUGUUGGGGGAAAGACUAACAACUCCAACACACUGAAGAAAAGAGGGCCUUCUGGAAGAAAACCACUUGGUGAUCUAUCGAAUUCUGUAAAGCAUACCAUUAAUCAGACGUCAAAGAAGCUGAAUUGCGAUAUCCUGCCCAUUCAGGAGGAGCCUUCCUCCUCAAAAGUCACAGGGCCCCGAGAAAAGAAAGUUGCCCCUGCCUCUAAGAAAAAAGCCUCUGUUGGUGGAAGAAAGGCUCUGUGUGACAUCUCAAACUCUGCAAAGCCACAUUUACCCGAGGCAUUGAGGAAGGUGCUUAAAGCGCCUACAAGAUUUGGCAGCCUGUCUGAGGAACCGGCUCUUCACAGCAUUGAUUCAGAAAAGCAAUUUCUGCAUGAUCAUCAGGAAUGCAUCAAGGCACAGACACAUUCGAUGGAUCUGGAUGAGUUUCUGAAAGUGGUUGGACUCCACGAUGUUGUUGACCAGCCAGCAUCUCCUCGCCUCUCAGAACUCAAAGUUGGCAAACUCAAUGCAGAAACUCCCUCAGGAAUCUCGUAUCUGGAAGAAAUGACUGAGUCGCUGCUGAUAGAAGAGCCAUCUGCAUCUAGAGCUCCUCGAUCCUUGGCUCACUGCAAAACUCCGAUGAUAUCCGGUCUAUUGUUUAGCAGGACAAAGUAUGACUCCGUCGAUUUCUGCCUGAUGGAAACUCCUCUCUCAAAGAAGCUCGAAUCCUCUGAUUGAUAUACUAGAGCCACGUUUGUGCUACUUUGGAGACUAACAGCAAUCUCAAAAAUUUGCUUCUGCUUCAAGCAAUCUUUUUCUCAGUAAUACCGCAAUGCUACAUCGGCUUUAAAGGGAAGGCUUUCUCGAAGAGGCGGUGAGUUUUGGAACUUGGAUUUGAGUAACUAUAAGGUUUUUGUUCUUUCUAAGAAUUAGUGGUACUUUUUUAUAUGGCUGAAAUUCAUAAUAUCUUAAAAUUUUGAUGGUUGGUAUCUACGAUUUUCUCUUUUCAAUUUUUUGGGAAAUAUAAUAGAUUAGGAAUGAAGAAAAUAGGAUGUAUCUCCUUUCCAUUUGCUUCUGAUCAAACACACAAUAGGGGAAAAAAAGGUAAAGGAUUGAUUGGAAAUGUCUCUCUGCCCGUCAGCUUGGUUUUAAAAGGCGCGCCUGGGGCGCACCUAGGCGUUGGAGGCGUUGUUGCGCCAGAAAAAAUGCAUCUGAACCCAAAGGCGAUGCGAUUUGCAGGAGGCGGUCGGAGGCGCGCCUCCGGCGUGCAUCGGCCGGAGGCGGAGGCGUGCGCCUCUGGUAGUAAGGCGGUCAAUGUAAAAAAAAUAUAGGGUUCAGGUGGAGGAUGAAGAGAGAAGAAGAGAGGGAAAGUGAAGAGAGGGAAAGUGAUAGAGAGAGAGAGAGGGUAUGAUAGAUAUUAGUCACGUGGUAAGCUUAUCAAUGUAGCUGUUCCUGGGACCAUCGAUGAAAGAGCUAUCAACACUAAGAAGGACCUUACCUAUGGGAGAGAAAUGAGAACCAUACACUUGGUCUUAAUUCUGCUAAAGCCAUUGGCUGCACUGUUGUUAAUAUCGGUACACAGGAUAUGGUUGAA